rnacentral:rRNA from 1 species
GGGCUCACACAAGCGGUGGAGGAUGUGGCUUAAUUCGAGGCUACGCGAAGAACCUUAUCCUAGUCUUGACAUGUAUGGAUUAACCCUGUGAAAGCAGGGCCACGCCUUCGGGUGGAACAUACACAGGUGCUGCAUGGCUGUCGUCAGCUCGUGUCGUGAGAUGUCGCGUUAAGUCGCUUAACGAGCGAAACCCUUGUCUCUAGUUGCCAGCGCGUAAUGGCGGGGACUCUAGAGAGACCGCCGGCGUUAAGCCGGAGGAAGGUGGGGAUGACGUCAAGUCCUCAUGGCCCUUAUGACUAGGGCUGCACACGUCCUACAAUGGAACGCACAAAGGGAUGCGAAACCGCGAGGUCAAGCAAAUCCCAAAAAUCGUUCCCUAGUUCGGAUUGCAGGCUGCAACUCGCCUGCAUGAAGCUGGAAUCGCUAGUAAUCG